rnacentral:rRNA from 1 species
CAGCCGCCGCGGUAAUACGGAGGGUGCAAGCGUUAAUCGGAAUUACUGGGCGUAAAGCGCACGCAGGCGGUUUGUUAAGUCAGAUGUGAAAUCCCCGAGCUUAACUUGGGAACUGCAUUUGAAACUGGCAAGCUAGAGUCUUGUAGAGGGGGGUAGAAUUCCAGGUGUAGCGGUGAAAUGCGUAGAGAUCUGGAGGAAUACCGGUGGCGAAGGCGGCCCCCUGGACAAAGACUGACGCUCAGGUGCGAAAGCGUGGGGAGCAAACAGGAUUAGAUACCCGAGUAGUCCCUGUCUCUUAUAA